ACCUUUUUCAGUGGUGUACUCUUUGAUAGAGCAUGCUCUGUUCAUUCCUAAACAGCCAGGACGGGAGGCUCCUCAUCAGAUUAGAAUUCCAACAGACUUUCCUCACUGUUUCCAAAUUAAUCUGCUAUUGCUGAAAAUAAUUUCCUGAGCGAUAGGUAAGAACAUGAAAUGGACUGCGUAUUAUCGAGCUGCUGCAAUGGAGCAGUAAUUGAAAACUUUAUCUAGCCUGGGCUUCAAGUCUGUACACCUCAGCUUCUAUUUAGUUAUUGCAUCAGUGUUUGGAGAGAGCACCACAUUUAACCUUUUAAAUUGCACAAAUAAGUUUUCCUUAUUCAAUGGUUUCUAUUAACCUUUCAGAACUGAUGGGUUAAAAAAUACAGCAUUAGCAUAGUUAGCCUUUGAAAAUAGUAAUGAUGUGGUGUGAAUGCCUUUCUCUUCCCUGCUUCUCACUGACAAACAAAAAAACCCUCUUGCCUAGUAUGUAUUAGAGUUUUCAUUGGAUUAUUUUCUGUAGAGAUCUCUGCUCUAUAGGAUGCAUGUGCACGCCUGGUGUUACAUUGGAACACUUUAGAAUACAGCAAAUAUUGAGAUUGUAUGCGUAUUCUCUUGUGGUUUUGACCAUUGAGUCCCAUAGGUUGUAAAAGGAACUACAGUUCCCACCCAUCUCUUUCUUUUCUCUUUGUAGAUUGAGGGUCAAAUCCUUUGUUCUCUCUGGGCUUCUUUUGGCUUGUUCAGUUAGUGUCAUCACAAAUAGUUAAUGUUUGUGUAGCUGUUAAUUUUUAUGGCAAGUUAAUUGGUUCUCCAUGUUAUUCUUUGGCUUGAUACAGUAGGCAUCUGGUUUGGUAUGGCUUUGUCAGCUUCUGUUCUUUUGAUUCUGUUUAUUUCCAUUGUCAUAGUGGCUGGGUCUGAGAAGAAUCUGAGUUUGAAGUAAUGUACAUUGUAUGAAGCAAAUAUUUUUUUGUAUUCAGACCAGUGUAUCCAGUUCGUGGGUGAGUGAUGCUCCCCACAGAGCAUAUACUUUAUGCAGAUUUCCGCCACUUCCCCUCCCAAAAUACUCAAGAGUGAGAGUCCCACCUCUAUGUGUUGAAGAAAGUCCGACAGGUUAAUCUGAUUUUAGCUUAAAUGUGUUAAUGAAUAGGAGUCUGGAACAUCUUCAGAGUCUAAAGAUGCCUAGAAGUCCAACUCUGAGAAAUCACUGGGUUCAAGAAUGCCUCAAGGACGUGAGUGCCCAUUAGGCUCAGGCCUGGUCUACACUACGCGUUUAAACCAAAUUUAGCAACAUUAAACUGAUUUAACCCUGCAGCCGUCCACACAACGAGGCCCUUUAUAUUGAUAUAAAGGACUCUUAAAACCGGUUUCUGUACUCCUCCCCGACGACAGGAGUAGCGCUGAAAUCAGUAUUGCAAUGUAGGAUUAGGGUUAGUGAGGCCGCAAAUCGACGGUAUUGGCCUCCGUGAGGUAUCCCACAGUGCACCAUUGUGACCGCUCUGGAAAGCCAUCUGAACUUGGAGGCACUGGCCAGGUAGACAGGAAAAGCCUCACAAACUUUUGAAUUUCAUUUCCUGUUUGGCCAGCGUGGAGAGCUCUCCAGCACAGGUGACCACACAGAGCUCAUCAGCUUAAGUAACAAUGCAGUCUCCUGAGAAUCGAAAAAGAGCUCCAGCAUGGACCGCACUGGAGGUACUGGAUCUGAUCGCUAUAUGGGGAGAGGAUUCAGUGCUAACAGAACUCCGUUCCAAAAGACGAAAUGAAAAACCAUUUGAAAAAAUUUCCAAGGCCAUGAUGCAGAGAGGCCACAGAAGGGACUCAGUACAGUGCCGUGUGAAAGUUAAGGAGCUCAGACAAGCCUACCAGAAAACCAAAGAAGCAAACGGAAGGUCCAGGGCAGGGCCGAAAACAUGCCGCUUCUACGCUGAGCUGCGUGCAAUUCUAGGGGUGUCCGCCACCAGUUCCCCACCCCUGUCUGUGGAUUCCGAGGUGGGGGUGGUAAUCUCAGCCAUGGCUGAGGAUUCUACGGACGGGGAAGAUGAGGAGGAGGAAGAGGAGAACGAGCUUGCAGAGAGCACACAGCACUCCGUUCUCCCCAACAGCCAGGAACUUUUUCUCACCCUGACAGAAUUACCCUCCCAGCCCUCCCAAGCCACUAGCCCAGACAAUGAAGCCAUGGAAGCGACCUCUGCUGCACAUUUUUCAAGCCUCCCUACUCCAUCCCGAAGGCUAUCUCAGAUAAGGCGGCGGAAAAAAAAGAUGCGAAAUGAAAUGUUCUCGGAAAUCAUGGAAGUGACCUGCAAUGAAAGAGCUCAUCUGAAUGAGUGGAAGGACGUGAUAUCAAAUUACAGGAAAGAUGCCAGUGAACGUUAGGACAGAAGGGACCAACAUGAGGACAGGAGGGAUGCUCAAGAUGAGAGGUGACGGCAGGAAGAUCAGAGGUGUAGGCAGGAAGAUCAGUGGUGGCGGGAUGCAACGCUGGGGCUGUUGCGUGAUCAAACUGACAUCCUCUGACGUCUGGUGGAGCUUCAGGAACAGCAGCAGGAUCACAGAGUGCCACUGCAGCCCCUUUGUAACCACCCUAACCAUGUUGCAUAUCCUCCUCACCCAGACAUGCACAGGGAUCUCAACCCAGAAUUCCAAGGGGCAGGAGAGACUGCAGGAACUAUGGGAUAGCUACCCACAGUGCAACGCUCAGGAAAUCGACACUAGCCUCAGUACAUGGACGUACACCGCCGAAUUAAUGUGCUUAGUGUGGCCGCGUGCACUCGACUUUAUACAAUCUGUUUUACAAAACCGGUUUAUGUAAAAUCGGAAUAAUCCCAUAGUGUAGAUGUACCCUCAGAUACCACUAUUCCCUCUCUUGGAAGGAAGAUGUUUCUCUUGGUCCUUUAUAGAUUCAUGAAAUAAGUUAUGGAGGCUUUGACCUCUCUGAAGAUCAAGCUAGGAUGCAGUUUAAGGUCUGCUCCAGUGUUCUGAAACCUGUCAGGCAUCUAUGCAAAAUCCUUCUGAAAUAAUCAUAAGAAAUCCACAUGGCCUUGGACCUGUUGGCCCAGCAGUCUCAAUCCUUUUCCUCUGUAUGAAGGAUAAAGAAGAAACAGAGAAUAAUCAUUCAAGUAGCUGCUGCUUCCUCCUCUUCAACUGAUGAGUCUGUGCAUACAUACCAUCCUUUUAUGUCUCCAUUUGAUGACUUUAGGAAGUUUCAGGAGUUAUUGAGCAGAAUGGCAGAGGAGUUGUAUAUUUUAAAUUUGGAUAAUCCAUGGAACGUCAUCUCACUACUUGUAUACUAUUAUUCAGCUCCAGCAGAACACAGCAGCUAUCCCCUUAUUCCUUCUGAGAACCUCUAACUACCAUCCACCUCUAUCCCGCAGACGUUUAACCCUGCCGAUAAUCACCAAAUCCCAAAACUCUUCAGUUAAUUAGAAAACAAAGCAAAGAAGGGUUAACCCAUCAUGAUCAGAAUGUUGGGGAAGUAAUUGUAUUCCUCUGCUGUGCUUCAGAAAAGAAUAAGGAUUCAUCAAGUGAUAUUUGAACAGUAAAAU